rnacentral:rRNA from 1 species
GAGUUUGAUCGUGGCUCAGAUUGAACGCUGGCGGCAUGCCUUACACAUGCAAGUCGAACGGCAGCAUGAUCUAGCUUGCUAGAUUGAUGGCGAGUGGCGAACGGGUGAGUAAUACAUCGGAACGUGCCCUGUAGUGGGGGAUAACUAGUCGAAAGAUUAGCUAAUACCGCAUACGACCUGAGGGUGAAAGUGGGGGACCGCAAGGCCUCAUGCUAUAGGAGCGGCCGAUGUCUGAUUAGCUAGUUGGUGGGGUAAAGGCCCGACCAAGGCGACGAUCAGUAGCUGGUCUGAGAGGACGAUCAGCCACACUGGGACUGAGACACGGCCCAGACUCCUACGGGAGGCAGCAGUGGGGAAUUUUGGACAAUGGGCGAAAGCCUGAUCCAGCAAUGCCGCGUGUGUG